AUUGAACGCUGGCGGCAGGCUUAACACACGCAAGUCGAACGCCCCGCAAGGGGAGUGGCAGACGGGUGAGUAACGCGUGGGAACAUACCCUUUCCUGCGGAAUAGCUCUGGGAAACUGGAAUUAAUACCGCAUACGCCCUACGGGGGAAAGAUUUAUCGGGGAAGGAUUGGCCCGCGUUGGAUUAGCUAGUUGGUGGGGUAAAGGCCUACCAAGGCGACGAUCCAUAGCUGGUCUGAGAGGAUGAUCAGCCACAUUGGGACUGAGACACGGCCCAAACUCCUACGGGAGGCAGCAGUGGGGAAUAUUGGACAAUGGGCGCAAGCCUGAUCCAGCCAUGCCGCGUGAGUGAUGAAGGCCUUAGGGUUGUAAAGCUCUUUCACCGAUGAAGAUAAUGACGGUAGUCGGAGAAGAAGCCCCGGCUAACUUCGUGCCAGCCGCCGCUGUAAAAC
rnacentral:rRNA from 1 species